rnacentral:lncRNA from 10 species
AAAUCUGGUUUGUAGAUGUGCUUGGGGAGAAUGGGGGCCUCUUCUCCAAGAAGCCCGGAGCCUGUCGGGCCGCCGGCGCCCGGUCUCCCCUUCUGCUGCGGAGGAUCCCUGCUGGCGGUUGUGGUGCUGCUUGCGCUGCCGGUGGCCUGGGGUCAAUGCAAUGCCCCAGAAUGGCUUCCAUUUGCCAGGCCUACCAACCUAACUGAUGAAUUUGAGUUUCCCAUUGGGACAUAUCUGAACUAUGAAUGCCGCCCUGGUUAUUCCGGAAGACCGUUUUCUAUCAUCUGCCUAAAAAACUCAGUCUGGACUGGUGCUAAGGACAGGUGCAGACGUAAAUCAUGUCGUAAUCCUCCAGAUCCUGUGAAUGGCAUGGUGCAUGUGAUCAAAGGCAUCCAGUUCGGAUCCCAAAUUAAAUAUUCUUGUACUAAAGGGUGAGUUGGCAUCUCUUGAACCAACAUCUCUUGGUUCAAGAGUUCUAACACAGCCUUACUACCUUCUAGUCACAUGUCAGAAAGGACAACUAAACUAUUACCAUCUGCUCUUUAACGGCUUCAACACAGAUGUUUAGCUCCUGACUGAAAUGAGCAAAGGUAUGACAAGAUCGGGGGAAAAUCAUCUGUAUCCUUGCUGGAAACCAAGGCAGAGCAUAUAUGAAAAGUGUGGCAUUCAUUGGGUGGGAAGGAAGAAAAUGGGGGAAGAGUAUAGUCAAAGCACACAAACAGCCUUAACGCAGAGGGGACAUUGCUGGAAGAAAGGGAAGGCCAUUGAGUAACUGUGUGAGAGAAAUCUUAACGGUCAUAGCACAAGUAGUUUGCUAGGGCUGCUGUAACAGAGUACUCCAAAACGGGUGGCUUAACACAAAUGAAGUUUUUAAAAUUCUGUUCCGGAGGCUGAAAGUGCAAAAUCAAGGUGUUGGCAGAGCCAUGCUCCCCUCUAAAACCUGUAAGGAUGGAUCCUUCUUUGCUUCUUCCAGCUUCUGGAGCCCCAGGCCUUCCUUGGCGUGUGGCAGCAGAACUCCCGUUUCUGUCUCUGUCCUCACAUGGCCGUCUUCCCUCUGGGUCUGUGUCCUCACAUGCUGUUUUCCUGUCUGUGUAUGGCUGUGUCGAAAGUGCUCUCUUUUAAUAAGGACACCAAUCAUAAUGGAUUAGCGCCCACACUAACGACCUCAUCUUAACUGGAUUGCCUCUCCAAAGACCAUAUUUCCAAAUAAGAUCACAUUAAUAAGCAC